rnacentral:lncRNA from 1 species
CACACCAUGUCCAUCUAAAAGCUGGAAACUGACACCAGUCUGGUUUUUUUUUUUUUGGUCUUUUUCAGGGCCACACCCAUGGCAUAUGGAGGUUCCCAGGCUAGGGGUCCCAUUGGAUCUGUAGCCACCUGCCUACACCACAGCCACAGCAUCUCAGGAUCUGGGCCACAUCUGCAAACUACACCACAGCUCACAGCAACACCAGGUCCUUAACCCACUGAGCGAGGCCGGGGAUUGAACCUGCGUCCUCAUGGAUGCUAGUCAGGUUUGCUAACUGCUGAGCCAGGACAGGAACGCCACGAACCUGUCAUUUUUACUGGGAUGCGACCCUGCGAUCACGCUGGUCUGAGGUCCAGCCCCGUCCACCCCCACUCAGCUCCUUACUGCAGGGUGUGUCCCUCAGAUCCAGGGGGAGAACCAGGCGGCCCGGAGCGCCCAGUACCGCGGGGUGCUGGGCACCAUUCUCACCAUGGUGCGCAACGAGGGCCCCCGCAGCCUCUACAACGGGCUGGUGGCCGGCCUGCAGCGCCAGAUGAGCUUCGCCUCCAUCCGCAUCGGCCUCUACGACUCCGUCAAGCAGCUCUACACGCCCAAGGGAUCGGACCACUCCAGCAUCACCACCCGGAUUUUGGCGGGCUGCACCACGGGGGCCAUGGCAGUGACCUGCGCCCAGCCCACGGACGUGGUGAAGGUUCGAUUCCAGGCCAGCAUACACGCCGGGCCCGGGAGCAACAGGAAGUACAGCGGGACGAUGGAUGCCUACAGGACCAUCGCCAGGGAGGAAGGGGUCCGGGGCCUGUGGAAAGGUAGGUCCGGACUCCAGGCUGGGGGACUUCGGCAGCGCUUUCCCUUCCCAAGGGCUGGCGGCAGGGACCAAGCAAUGGGGAGCCCCCAGCAGGUCUACUCCUGCGAUUCUAAACCAACACCCUAACCAUCCCAGCAUCCCUGCCACGCUGCCCUGAGUUCCCUUCAAUGUGCCAACCCUUGGCCAUGCACAGGGCUGCGAGGAGACAGAAAUGAAGAGAGGCCGCCCUCGUGGCUCUCACAGUGACACAGAGGGGAUGGGACGUGUCCAGGAGCAGCCGUUCCACGGGGCAGGACGUGCUGGGCUCACGUGGAGGCGCAGAGCCAGAGGCGGGAGAGGCUACGGGCUGGGGGAAGCAGCUCAACCGCUGGACCUCAAAGGCCCCGUGGGCUCCCGGUGUGUGGAGAUGGGAGGAAGGGGCGAGCCCAGCAAAGGCCUAAGGGGUGACAGCUGAGCAC